GGCAGGCCUAAUACAUGCAAGACGAACGGCAAGUUUGAUAGCAAUAUUGAACCUAGAGUGUCGUAAGGGUGCGUAACACGUAUGCAAUCUACCCGAAACUGGAGCAUAGCUCCCCGAAAGGGGAAUUAACACUCCAUAAGAUCAUAGGAUGGCAUCAUCUAGUGAUUAAAACUGAGGUGGUUUCGGAUGAGCAUGCGUUUGAUUAGUUAGUUGGUGAGGUAACGGCUCACCAAGACGAUGAUCAAUAGGGGAACUGAGAGGUUGAUCCCCCACACUGGCACUGAGAUACGGGCCAGACUCCUACGGGAGGCAGCAGUAGGGAAUAUUGGACAAUGGGUGAGAGCCUGAUCCAGCCAUGCCGCGUGCAGGAAGAAGGCCUUCUGGGUUGUAAACUGCUUUUGCCAGGGGAUAAAAUUUCUUUGCGAAGAAAAUUGAAGGUACCUGGUGAAUAAGCCACGGCUAACUACGUGCCAGCAGCCGCGGUAAU
rnacentral:rRNA from 1 species